UUAAAUUGAAGAGUUUGAUCAUGGCUCAGAUUGAACGCUGGCGGCAGGCCUAACACAUGCAAGUCGAGCGGAAACGAUUUAUCAGAACCUUCGGGGGACGAU
rnacentral:rRNA from 1 species